rnacentral:rRNA from 1 species
GAAGUAAAAGUCGUAACAAGGUCUCCGUAGGUGAACCUGCGGAGGGAUCAUUACUGAGUGAGGGCCUUCGGGCUCGACCUCCAACCCUUUGUGAACACAACUUGUUGCUUCGGGGGCGACCCUGCCGUUUCGACGGCGAGCGCCCCCGGAGGCCUUCAAACACUGCAUCUUUGCGUCGGAGUUUAAGUAAAUUAAACAAAACUUUCAACAACGGAUCUCUUGGUUCUGGCAUCGAUGAAGAACGCAGCGAAAUGCGAUAAGUAAUGUGAAUUGCAGAAUUCAGUGAAUCAUCGAAUCUUUGAACGCACAUUGCGCCCCUUGGUAUUCCGAGGGGCAUGCCUGUUCGAGCGUCAUUUCACCACUCAAGCCUCGCUUGGUAUUGGGCGCCGCGGUGUUCCGCGCGCCUCAAAGUCUCCGGCUGAGCUGUCCGUCUCUAAGCGUUGUGAUUUCAUUAAUCGCUUCGGAGCGCGGGCGGUCGCGGCCGUUAAAUCUUUCAUAAGGUUGACCUCGGAUCAGGUAGGGAUACCCGCUGAACUUAAGCAUAUCAAUAAGCGGAG